rnacentral:ncRNA from 20 species
CACAAUAUGAAAUCGCUGCGCUCGGCAGGGGACCCUGCCGAAGGAAGUCGGGUGAAAAUCCCGCGCGGAGCCGCCGCUGUAAGAGUAACAGCCUCGUUUCAAGGGGGAAGCCCCGGUCACUGUGGUCAUCAUGGGAAGGCGAAACGACGGCCAGGACGCUCGAGCCAGAAUACAGACGCUGCGAUUUACAUCUGAG